UGAACGCUAGCGACAGGCCUAACACAUGCAAGUCAGGGGCAGCACAAGGAGCAAUCUGAGGUGGCGACCGGCGCACGGGUGAGUAACACGUAUGCAACCUGCCUGUAAGCGGGGAAUAACCCGUUGAAAGACGGACUAAUACCGCAUAAUACUAAAUUACUGCAUGGUAAUUUAUUUAAACAUUUAUGGCUUACAGAUGGGCAUGCGCAUGAUUAGCUAGUUGGAGAGGUAACGGCUCCCCAAGGCAACGAUCAUUAGGGGUUCUGAGAGGAAGGUCCCCCACACUGGUACUGAGACACGGACCAGACUCCUACGGGAGGCAGCAGUGAGGAAUAUUGGUCAAUGGACGAGAGUCUGAACCAGCCAAGUCGCGUGCAGGAAGAAUGUCCCUAUGGAUUGUAAACUGCUUUUGCAGGGGAAUAAAGUGCAUCACGUGUGAUGUUUUGUAUGUACUCUGCGAAUAAGGAUCGGCUAACUCCGUGCCAGCAGCCGC
rnacentral:rRNA from 1 species